rnacentral:rRNA from 1 species
GAUGAACGCUGGCGGCGUGCCUAAUACAUGCAAGUCGAGCGAACGGACGAGAAGCUUGCUUUUCUGAUGUUAGCGGCGGACGGGUGAGUAACACGUGGAUAACCUACCUAUAAGACUGGGAUAACUUCGGGAAACCGGAGCUAAUACCGGAUAAUAUUUUGAACCGCAUGGUUCAAAAGUGAAAGACGGUCUUGCUGUCACUUAUAGAUGGAUCCGCGCUGCAUUAGCUAGUUGGUAAGGUAACGGCUUACCAAGGCAACGAUGCAUAGCCGACCUGAGAGGGUGAUCGGCCACACUGGAACUGAGACACGGUCCAGACUCCUACGGGAGGCAGGAGUAGGGAAUCUUCCGCAAUGGGCGAAAGCCUGACGGAGCAACGCCGCGUGAGUGAUGAAGGUCUUCGGAUCGUAAAACUCUGUUAUUAGGGAAGAACAUAUGUGUAAGUAACUGUGCACAUCUUGACGGUACCUAAUCAGAAAGCCACGGCUAACUACGUG